CUUAUCCAAAGCCUGGAUUACAUCAUGCUCAAGAAAUUUUGCUUGUUUUGCUUUGUUUCCUAACGGUUCAUGUUAAACAAUACAUAGACGAAUUUGGGUAGACAUCUGGCCUCGAUUGUUUGUACCUGGCUGUGGCUGUUAAGACCCUGAAUAAGCAAAACCAAGUAAUGGACACUUAGGUCGUGUCCACAUCUUGGCUGUCGUGAAUAACGCUGCCGUGAACAUGUGGGUGCAGAUAUGUCUUCGGGAUCCUGAGUUCAACUCUUUUGGAUGUAUACCCAGAAGUGGGAUGGCUGGAACAUAUGCAGGUUAUCCUGGUCUUCCUCACAUCCCGGUGGUCUAAAAGACUCAAGAAGGCAAACCCCAAAGCGGGCUUAUUGAAAAUAAUGAUGAUCUACUGAAUCUAAAUUAGUGAGAGCAGAUCCUAGGAAUCUGCAUUUUAAACUCAAGUCUUGGUAAGUCCUUUUGCAUAAACUCUGAGCUCCCUGGAGGUAUCUUGCUCAUCACAGCCUCUCUAGUCUUUCAUAUAGUGCCGAACAAUAGAGUUGGG
rnacentral:lncRNA from 1 species